GUGGCACUGGGACAGGGAGAGUGUCUGUGUGACCAUGACUGCGGUGAUCGGGACAGGGCCAGUGAUCGCCACCAUCGUGAGCACCGUGAGAGGAGUGAAAUAAGGGAGCAUUGUGACCGUUUUGAUGAUUGUGACCAUCGCCGGAGCCAUGAUCUUGAUGUUGAAAGGGAACAAUGAUGAAUUCUAUGGAGGAUGCUCAUGGAAGGAAAGGCUAUGUUGUCUUAACAAGGAUGGAAAGUAUAACAACAUACACAAACCAACGUGGACAACCCAAAUCUGGACUGAUGGAACCUGGAAGAUACACCUGAAACUGAAGAAAAAGUUCUCAAAAGUGCGGAAGAGCGGUAUAGAGGCUGGCGACCAACUCUAAGCUCCACUUACAAGGCAUACAAAACAUAUGCAGCUAGGUUGGCUUAUCUGCUGGAAGAUUUACAACAAGAAGAGUGGGAAUGGACGAUUGUGUACUUUGGCACUGAUUCAAAAUUUCAGGAACGCAGCCAAAAGAACAUUGAUAGUCGUAAGAAACAGAAGACAAGACACAUAUUUCGAUCAAAAUCUUACUCGCAACUAAAUUUCGAGAAGAGAAACAUGGAAACUGAAGAAGAGCCAGAUUGUAUUGCUAUGUGGGAACUCACCCACACGAAGAAUGAAACAUGGUCUGACACUGAGUCCCAGGAUGUUUACGAUCCAAAGAACUAGCUCGACUGGACUCUAGAUCACGGACAAUUUAGUCUUGGCACUUAAUUAGGAUGCCUAAAUUACAUUUGAUGGAUAUUUGCUAUGAGAAUUAUGAAUUUUAUGAAUCUACAUAUUGUACGUAUGGUUUUGAAUAUUGUAAUUGAAUGCCUAUAUUUUUUUUAGGUUGCAAUAGGCUAUUGCCACA